rnacentral:lncRNA from 1 species
UACGAUUCUCGACGAACUUUCAUAUUUUGAAGAUAUGAAUAAUUGUAUCAUAUCAUUGCAUGUUGACAACUACAAAUAUUUACACUCUGGAGUUUUUAAGAACUUAAGUUUUUUGUUGUAAUAAAUGAGAUAUAGGAAAUUCAAAAAGUGAAAAAAUAAACUAAAAAAAAGAAGUUAAGAUUGAAAUGUUAGCGGAAAAAUGGGC